rnacentral:misc_RNA from 1 species
UGGCUCUCGCAUCGAUGAAGAACGCAGCGAAAUGCGAUAAGUAAUGUGAAUUGCAGAAUUCAGUGAAUCAUCGAAUCUUUGAACGCACCUUGCGCUCUCUGGUAUUCCGGAGAGCACGCCUGUUCGAGUGUCAUGAAACUCUCAAGCAGAAUUAACUUUAUUGUUUGAUUCUUGUUUGGAUUUGGACUCUGCCGCGUUACUGCGGCUGGUCUUAAAAGUAUUAGCUGGUCUGUAAGAACCUUGGGUUUGACUUGGCGUGAUAAUAUAUUCGCUGAGGACACUUUGGUGGCCUAAUUUCUUACUGGAUUGCUUCUAAUCGUCCUUUACUGGACAACUUUAUUUUCAUAUCUGACCUCGAAUCAGGUGGGACUACCCGCUGA